rnacentral:rRNA from 1 species
AACGCGAAGAACCUUACCAGGACUUGACAUGCACCUGCACCAGCCGUCAUGGGCUGUCCCUUCGGGGCGAGUGCACAGGUGCUGCAUGGCUGUCGUCAGCUCGUGUCGUGAGAUGUUGGGUUAAGUCCCGCAACGAGCGCAACCCUCACUGCCGGUUAUAAGUGUCCGGCGGGACUGCCGCGACCAACGCGGAGGAAGGUGGGGAUGACGUCAAGUCAGCACGGCCCUGACGUUCUGGGCGACACACACGCUACAAUGGCCGAGACAACGAGUCGCCAACCCGCGAGGGGGAGCCAAUCUCAGCAAACUCGGUCUCAGUUCAGAUUGCAGGCUGCAACCCGCCUGCAUGAAGUUGGAGUUGCUAGUAACCGCAGGUCAGCACACUGCGGUGAAUACGUUCCCGGGCCUUGUACACACCGCGAGC